rnacentral:rRNA from 1 species
UACGUAGGGGGCAAGCGUUGUCCGGAAUCAUUGGGCGUAAAGAGCGUGUAGGCGGCCCGGUAAGUCCGCUGUGAAAGUCCAGGGCUCAACCCUGGGAUGCCGGUGGAUACUGUCGGGCUCGAGUCCGGAAGAGGCGAGUGGAACUCCUGGUGUAGCGGUGGAAUGCGCAGAUAUCAGGAAGAACACCAACGGCGAAGGCAGCUCGCUGGGACGGUACUGACGCUGAGGCGCGAAAGCCAGGGGAGCGAACGGG